rnacentral:rRNA from 1 species
GGUAGUCCACGCCGUAAACGAUGGGCGCUAGAUGUAGGGACCUUUCCACGGUUUCUGUGUCGUAGCUAACGCAUUAAGCGCCCCGCCUGGGGAGUACGGCCGCAAGGCUAAAACUCAAAGGAAUUGACGGGGGCCCGCACAAGCGGCGGAGCAUGCGGAUUAAUUCGAUGCAACGCGAAGAACCUUACCAAGGCUUGACAUACACCGGAAACGGCUAGAGAUGGUCGCCCCCUUGUGGUCGGUGUACAGGUGGUGCAUGGUUGUCGUCAGCUCGUGUCGUGAGAUGUUGGGUUAAGUCCCGCAACGAGCGCAACCCUCGUUCUAUGUUGCCAGCGCGUUAUGGCGGGACUCAUAGGAGACUGCCGGGGUCAACUCGGAGGAAGGUGGGGAUGACGUCAAAUCAUCAUGCCCCUUAUGUCUUGGGCUUCACGCAUGCUACAAUGGCCGGUACAAAGGGCUGCGAUACCGUAAGGUGGAGCGAAUCCCAAAAAGCCGGUCUCAGUUCGGAUUGAGGUCUGCAACUCGACCUCAUGAAGUCGGAGUCGCUAGUAAUCGCAGAUCAGCAACGCUGCGGUGAAUACGUUCCCGGGCCUUGUACACACCGCCCGUCAAGUCAUGAAAGUCGGUAACACCCGAAGCCGGUGGCCUAACCCUUGUGGAAGGAGCCGUCGAAGGUGGGAUCGGUGAUUAGGACUAAGUCGUAACAAGGUAACC